rnacentral:lncRNA from 1 species
AUCUCUAUCUCUAUCUCUAAAUUUCGUCAUAAAAAUAAUUGAUAAUAAGCGUGCUUUUUGUAUUUCUGCAAAUUGUUCAGCAUAGCAGAACCUUUAGGUUUGAUCUAAUUUUAGUCUCGUCUUCCCUAAUCUGAGCCCAAGUAAAAUCACUUGCAGAUUUUUAUCCGAAGUCCGCAGUAGACUGAUCUUCCUUGAAAGUAACGCUUCCCUCUGUUGCAUUCUUUGAGUCUGUUCUAAGAGAACCUUUCUAUAUUUGGGAACUCUUUAACUUUAAAUUUGCCAUUUUUCCCUUACCGACAAUCUUUUAUAGCCAUAGAAAUAUUGAGGCAUGCUUAAAACCACAAAUUCUAACAUUGACCCCUUACCGACAAUCUUUUAUAGCCAUAGAAAUAUUGAGGCAUGCUUAAAACCACAAAUUCUAACGGCAUUAUUAGUAUGUGCCAAUAAUCUUUCUUUCUUGUUAAACUUUGUGCUAGUCAAACAGAGCAUAAGAUGAAAC